GAUGAACGCUAGCUACAGGCUUAACACAUGCAAGUCGAGGGGUAGCAGGGUAGCAAUACCGCUGACGACCGGCGCACGGGUGAGUAACACGUAUCCAACCUACCGUUUACUCGGGGAUAGCCUUUCGAAAGAAAGAUUAAUACCCGAUAGUAUAAAGAGUUCGCAUGUUCUCUUUAUUAAAGGAUUCCGGUAAAUGAUGGGGAUGCGUUCCAUUAGAUUGUUGGCGGGGUAACGGCCCACCAAGUCUUCGAUGGAUAGGGGUUCUGAGAGGAAGGUCCCCCACAAUGGAACGGAGGCACGGUCCAAACUCCUACGGGAGGCAGCAGUGAGGAAUAUUGGUCAAUGGGCGUUAGCCUGAACCAGCCAAGUAGCGUGAAGGAUGACUGCCCUAUGGGUUGUAAACUUCUUUUAUAAGGGAAUAAAACGGGGAACGUGUUCCCCUUUGCAUGUACCUUACGAAUAAGGAUCGGCUAACUCCGUGCCAGCAGCCGCGGUAA
rnacentral:rRNA from 1 species